GGAAUCUUCCACAAUGGACGCAAGUCUGAUGGAGCAACGCCGCGUGAGUGAAGAAGGUCUUCGGAUCGUAAAACUCUGUUGUUAGAGAAGAACACGAGUGAGAGUGGAAAGUUCACACAGUGACGGUAACUUACCAGAAAGGGACGGCUAACUACGUGCCAG
rnacentral:rRNA from 1 species